CCCGCCACCGCCUCCGGGCGGGACCAGCUGGUGGUUCUCCAGCUGCACUGGGGCCAUGGCGGCGCAGGACCGGGCUUGGCGCAACGGCACACGAUGCGGUCCUCGAGCCUCCCGGGCGCUCGGUCACCGCGCCGAAACGGGAGCGGGCAGAGUCGCCACCGCCUACCGCCGGGCCGCCUCAGAACAGGAAGCCGUGCGCCGACCGCGGAAGCCCGCCCCCAUGUAGCGAGAAGUCCGCCGACCCCAGGGACGGGAGCGAGGGGCGGGGGGAGGCGGGGAUCGGGGGGAAGCAGGGCGGCCCCGCAGAGGGGAAGCUGCGCCUCCGCAAACGCUCAGAAGCAGCUUCGCCAGACAGCCGCAACGUACAUGUUGACUGCCCAAGGCGGAAGUCGAUCGGCAGAGCGGAAGGGGGACCUGCAGAGGACCUUCCGACAGGUUGGUCAGACCAUGCCCAUGGUUCCUCCUCGACUUGACUAUGAAUGCCGCAUCUGUUGAAUGAAUGCAAUUUCUGCUGUUGCUUUCCAUUUUGGAUAGAAGUGAUUGCAAAUCUUAUCGAAAUAAUGAAAAAAAUACUUUUCAAUUCCUUUUCAACCCUUUUGAGUCUGAGGGGCAGCUGUACAUUAAAUGAAACCAUAUGUAUCAUAAUUUCAUUUUUCCAUCAAAAAGGCUUUAAAGGAAAUUCCCCUUUUUCUCCAUGUUUUGCAAUCUUUUUUGUUCCUUUUGUUAAAAUCAGAUUAAUCUCAUGAAACAUCUGAAGCAUUUCAGUCAAUUUAAGAGCUGAGAAAAUAUCAUGCUGCUAGUUCUGAAACGAUCUGAAGUGUGAAUCAUGUGAUCACCAAAUAGAGGAACAACUGAAAAAUGUGAAUGAAAGAAGGCACAGCCUCUGAAAUCAGAUUGCUUAGAUUCAAAUCCUAGCUCUACCACACACUAUCUGAACGCUCUCCAGCAAGUUACUUUACUUUGCAUGAUCUCAGUUUCUUCAUCUGUAAUCAUACUGCUUACCUCAAAGGAUGAUUGCGAAGAAUGAAUGAAUUGACAUUUGCAGAGGGCUUAAAACACCUGGAAUACAGACAUGAUAGCUGGAGUUGCAGUGGUCAUCUGGCAACCAGGAGGCAAACUUUAGAGUGGAAAAUGUGUGCUAAGAAGGACAAAGCAGAGAGAUAGAAGGAGCAAGGGACUUGGAUGACUUCAUGGGCUUGGCAUGCCACCACUGGAUUGUCUACCUCUGCCUGCAAAAGAUAGAAAAUAACCUCCCAAUUUAUUUAAACCACUCUUUAUUUAGUGUCGAUUGCCAGCAGCUGAACACAAUUCCUAAAGCAUGCACUAACAUCCAUGUGGUGGCAUCAUCUUAUCUUCAAUACCUUUCUUCAGAUGACGCUAGUGUAAACCUUACAUGGAAUAUUUUGAACCACUGAGGUAGGGCAUUGCGUCUCGGUCAAUCUCUUCCCUCCACUUCCAAACAUAGUGCCUGAUAAAUAGUAGGUGCCCAGUUAAAAUGGAUUGACCAGUCAUGAGCCUGGCUAAGUCUUGAGCCAUACUAACUCUCGAACCCUAGUCUUCAAUUUGGCCAGGCUAGCUAAAUUGAAGACUAUAGCCAUUGUGGUUCCUUGAACACAGUAAACAAACUUUACUUCAGUUUGAAGGUAGUACAGUCCAAUACCAUCACAAAUGUAUUUAAUAAAGAGCCAGUGAAAACAUGAGAAUAAGACAACUCCUAAAAUGAAAAAAAAAGGCAGAUGAUGAUAGAGAAGAAAUUAUUGCUGUUAAGUUAAGUUUAGCCUAAAGCUGCCUCCUGAUAUAUUUUAAGUUCAGCCUAAAGGCAUCUCCUCACAGAGUGACCUGUAACCCAACUGGAUGUGUAAACAAACUAUGACCUACUCUGGUGCCAACCACUGAGUUUUGGCUAAUCACAGGCAGCCAACUGUUCAAACCGUGUGUGUAACCAAUCUGGCUGUUUCUGUACCUCACUUUCUUUUUGCUGCCUGUAAAUCUUCUUCCACACGUUCGCAGCAUCGCAGACUCUCUGAACCUAUUCUGGCUUCCUGAACUGUGAACAGUUCUUUGAUCAAUUAAACUCUGUUAAGCUUAAUUUGUCUAAGGUUUUUCUUUUAACACCACACACCAAAAAGUAACUAUGGAAGGUAAUGGACAUGUAAAUUUGUUUGACUGUAGUCAUCAUUUCACUAUAUGUAUAUGUAUAUGUAUAUGUGUAUCAAAACAUGUUGUGCAUCUUAAAUAUAUACAAUAAAAAAUAAAAGAUGAGAUUCCAGACCUGCAUUUCUUUUUCUUUCCUAAUCCAUCUCUCUGUGGUAUAUUUUGUGUCUCUUGUUCAUCUCUCCUGUCCUUUAGACUAUAAAUGCUCAUCUGCUUCAGCAUUUGUAAAACUAUCAUUUUAAAAUAAAGUGACCUACAUAAAUAAGUAAUUACCAGGGAUGAAUAAAUAAUAAAGGAAGGAUAAGGGAGUACACACACAUGCUCAUGAGUCACACACAUAAAGAACCAGCAGUGGCAUUCGGCUGGGUCACCAGGAUAGAGGAAAAUCACCAGGAAGGAGAGAGGAGUCACGCAGAAUAUGCCCGGGAAAAGGAAGGUUCACAUAAAUAUUAGAGGAAGGAAGCAUUACAAACCAGAUUGGAAAUUUUGUCUUCUGACUUUCAAAAAUGCAUUUUUAAAUGCCUGGAGGGGCUGGCAUCUAGCUCUCCUUUCAGACUGUGGAAACUGUGUUAUCCCUAUGACAAACCUACAGCCAAGGAAAAUAAAAUGUAGUCAGCCCUUCAGCAAGAAGUGUCUGGAGACCAUGUCUGUAAGGAAGAAGACAUGAAACAGUUUAAGCUAUAGAGCGAUGAAUUUCUCAUACAUCUUUUCUUGUGACCUGAGAUCAGGAGCUUCUGACCCUAACAUUAUGGAAGAGUGUUUAGCUCCUGAUUUGAAAAAUAUAUGGCAUAUGAUAGAAUGUUCAGCGACAGACAACAGGGUGGACUUGCAGGAAUAAGGCCGUGAGAAGUCAUAGACUUGGACUUCCUGUCCAUAUUCUACUUCUAACUUUGCCCAUUUCAACUUUGCCUCCUACAUUUUUGGCUCAGCAUCUUUUAAGAAACUUUUAUUUUUCGCGUCAUUUUCUUUAUCCUACUUCUUUAUAUUGAAAAUUUUUAAUCCUAUAGAAAAGUGUAAAACUAGUACAAUAAACACCCACAUACCCUUUACCUAGAUUCGCCACGGCUAAUUUUUGUAUUUUUAGUAGAGACGGGAUUUCAU